rnacentral:rRNA from 1 species
GUAGGGAAUCUUGCGCAAUGGGCGAAAGCCUGACGCAGCCAUGCCGCGUGAAUGAUGAAGGUCUUAGGAUUGUAAAAUUCUUUCACCGGGGACGAUAAUGACGGUACCCGGAGAAGAAGCUCCGGCUAACUUCGUGCCAGCAGCCGCGGUAAUACGAAGGGGGCUAGCGUUGCUCGGAAUUACUGGGCGUAAAGGGCGCGUAGGCGGAUAUUUAAGUCGGGGGUGAAAGCCCGGGGCUCAACCUCGGAAUAGCCUUCGAUACUGGAUAGCUUGAGUACGGGGGAGGUGUGUGGAACUCCGAGUGUAGAGGUGAAAUUCGUAGAUAUUCGGAAGAACACCAGUGGCGAAGGCGACACACUGGCCCGUUACUGACGCUGAGGCGCGAAAGCGUGGGGAGCAAACAGGAUUAGAAACCCCUGUAGUCC